UGCGCUGGCGACGGGGCGAAUAAUUUGCGGAACGCUAACCGCAUAAGCAGCGCAGGCUGCUAUAGAAGCACAGGUGCUGUACUGUGUCCCUAUGGGUGCAACAGUUUUAUGGCAAACAAAUUGGUGAUGAGAGCAGUCGGUGACAGCACACCGGCUGCUCUUG
rnacentral:sRNA from 12 species